rnacentral:rRNA from 1 species
UACGUAGGGUGCGAGCGUUAAUCGGAAUUACUGGGCGUAAAGCGUGCGCAGGCGGUUUUGUAAGUCUGACGUGAAAUCCCCGGGCUUAACCUGGGAAUUGCGUUGGAGACUGCAAGGCUGGAGUCUGGCAGAGGGGGGUAGAAUUCCACGUGUAGCAGUGAAAUGCGUAGAGAUGUGGAGGAACACCGAUGGCGAAGGCAGCCUCCUGGGCCAGCACUGACGCUCAUGCACGAAAGCGUGGGGAGCAAACAGG